rnacentral:pre_miRNA from 1 species
GAAGUCUUCUGGUAAACGACUUACACGGAAGUCUUCCAGGAUUUUAUUCUGAGAUUCUGCUCAAACCUUGGUUAUUACAGAAGACUUCCGUGUAAGUCGUUUACCAGAAGACUU